rnacentral:lncRNA from 1 species
AACUAUACAUAGGAAGCAAUAUUUUCAAAAAUCUUGUGAAAUAGGAUGUGAUCGGUACGGUGAAAUACGGCUGUGGUUGAAAAAUCACAUAUUUCUGGUAAAAUUUGGUCUCAGAUAGAUGCAGUCAACCCUCUUUACGCUUAUGCUUCCCUAUGGGAAGCCUUAUCGUCCGGAGAUGAACAUUCCUAAAUUUGUACAUGGGUGGUUAGAUCUCAUCAAUGUGAGAGUUUCAUGUGUAGAAGAAUCAACCAAACUAGGCUAUAUAAGGGUAUGUAAGAGCGUUUUCAUGUAAUAAGUGAUGUUGGUUUAGGUUUGACCAUGUAAAUCGAGACCCAAAUUUUAACGAAAACAAGUGAAUUUUUUUCCAUAGCCGUAUUUAGUCGACAAUAUUUUUUGCUAUUUAAAAAAAAAGUUCAAAGCAAUAAAGCACAUGUUAAAUUUUAUUCCAAUAAUAUUCUAUGAUAGAAAGAUUUAAGGGAUAUAAAUUUAUCACUACCAGGACAAGCACUUUAGCCGACGAAAAAUUUCGUCGGCCUGUUAGCUUAAUUCGUCGGCUAAGAUUUUAGCCGACGAGCUUUCGUCGGCUAAGAUUUCUUCGGGAAAAGGUCGUCUGUGAUAACUUUAGCCGACGAAAAAAAAAUUUCGUCGACUAUAGUUCCAUAGUUUAGCUGACGAAAAACAUGUCGUCGGUUUUUUUCUCAGACUUUAGCCGACGAAAUAAUUAAGAUAUUCGUCUGCUAAACCUUAUAAAAAAAAUUAAAAAAUAACUAUAGCCGAGGAAAUAUAUUCUAUUUCGUCGGCUAAACCUUAUAAAAAAAAUUAAAAAAUAACUAUAGCCGACGAAAUAUAGUUCUAUUUCGUACGGCUAAACCUUAUUAAAAAAUUAAAAAAAAAUAACUAUAGCCGACGAAUAUAGUAUUUAAAUAUCGUCGGCUAAAGUUGCUGGUUUUUGAAAAAAAAAACUGCAGAAACUUCCGGUCACCUCCGAUCACUACCAAAAUGUGACAGAAUCUUCCUCUCAACAUUUCGAACAACUUUCUAGAAGAAGUCGAAGCCCAAUUCUAAGCCUAAACAUGUCAAUUGAAUCAAAAUAUAAAAAUCCCCAAUUUUAAACCCUAAAAACUUCAAAUCUUCGAUUCUCCUCACACACACCGAAUCGAGCUACCAAAUUCUAGGGGAAUGUAGUACUAAUCAAACUCAACUUAUCCAUAUACAGAACUCACCAAAUGGUGACCUGAGGAAGGAGAAAUUCGUUCGACACCGAAUCUGAACCGGCGGAGUUUUGGAGCUCGAUUUAUCCCUCACGGCGGCGCCACUCGAUGCACCACCUGUCCAGCAAUGAAGUAGAGACGACGGCGAAGCUUUUGGGACAAGUGUGGCGGUCUCCGGUGGCUUGACGGCGGAGCUAGGCCGAGAAGAAAAUCGGGCAGACGAAAUAGACUUCUUACCAUCCACUUUCGGUAAAACUCAUAUAUAAAGAACUUAAGCCGACGAAAUUAUUUAUUUUCGUCGGCUAAACUCUUUUGAAAAUUUUGGUUGAUUGCCAAAAAAUUUUAGUUGAAAAUUUUGAAAAUUUUUCGACUUUAGCCGACGAAAUCAUAUAUUUUUGUCGGCUAAAGUCCUUUGAAAAUUACCGCCCAGAAAUUUUUAACCUUAGCCGACGAACUUUUUAAUAUCUCGUCGGCUAAAGUCUAUAAAUUCACGAAAACACUCAUAUCUCCCUCUAUAUUACGUAGUUUAGUCAGACUUUCCACACGAAAAACUUUCACAUAGAUGAGACGCAACCGCCUAUAUAAAAAUUUUGAGACAUUUACCUUCCGACGAUAGGGCUCCCCAUAGGAAAUAAUAACAGUAAAUAGGGUUGACCGCUACUAUCAGCACCGAGACUUUACCCGAUUUAUGUGAUUUUUGAACCAUAGCCGUAUUUCACCAUUCUGAACACAUCUUAUUUCACGAGAUUUUUGAUAAUUUUGCUUCCUAUGUAGAGUUGGUUCACAAAGUUGUAUAACCUACUAAACAAGUUAUACAACAUUAGUAGACACGUUGUGAUUCAUAUGACUAAAAUUCACAAACCAAAAUUCGACCGUCAAAUAUGAUCAUUAUGACCAAAGAUGUCUAUGGUAAAAAAUUCAACUGGAUCCGACAACGUUAAGGGCUCGAUCGAAACAGUCAACCCUAAUCCAUCGUCACUUAUCACACGAAAACGCUCAUAUCUUCCUCUAUAUUACGUAGUUUGGUCAAACCUUCCACACAAAAAACUCUCACGUAGAUGAGACGCAACUGCCCAUAUAAAAAUUUUGAGACAUUUACCUUCCGACGAUAGGGCUCCCCAUAGGGAAUAAUAACGGUAAAUAGUAGACACGUUGUGAUUCCGAUGACUAAAAUUUACAAACCAAAAUUUGACCGUCAGAUAUGAUCAUUAUGACGAAAGAUGUCUAUGGUAAAAAAUUCAACUAGAUUCGACAACGUUAAGGGCUCGAUCGAAACGGUCAACUUUUAUCGGAAAUAAGAAAACUGCAUUUUGAAGCCCUAAACGAACUCGGAUGGCCAAAAAUGCCCAUACAUCAUGGGCAUAGCAAUGAGUCUGACUCGUAGGGCCGUUACACUUCCGGAAAUAUAUCACAAUAGUCAAUCGGACACAAAAAAUCAAAUUUGUAGCAUAGUGAAUAAUAAGGGUAACAAAAAUUGGUACUUAACCGACGAUUUUUUCCUGUCGCUUAAGCCUUUAUUUCUACUAGUGAUAGAAACCGCCAUGGAGAAGUAGCAAGUGUCAAGAUGGUGGAGAACAAGUGUAAUACUCGGUUAAUUUUUGUUAAAUAUUUAUAUGUGUGUAAACCUCGGAUAUUUUAUUGAGUUAAGUAUUGCUGUUUUGAUGAAUUAUCUGUCGGUCGAUAUUGGUGAUUGUGACUGAUUUUGUGUUACAUUUCAUGUGACCUUAAAUUAUUUGGUAAGUUAAAGUGAGGUUUGUCGGAAGAUAUUUUUUUGAACCUCGAUGGAAAACAUGAUGCUAGAUAAUUGUGAUCCCUGAAAAUUUAUCGAGUUAAUUAUGAUGAGAUUGUUUGAGGAUUACUUUAUGAUCUCGAUUGAUAAAUAAAUUUUUGAGGAUAUUUUUAAGGUUCCGAUAUAUUUUACUUUUGAUUUUGAAGUUUGGAAUCUAUGAAAAUUCAUUUUAGAUAAAGACAAUAAUUAUGGUGUGAUAUGGACCAUUCAAAUUGGAUAAUGUUUCAUCUGGGCCGUCAAUAUGCUAACUAAUGAAAAAUAUAUGUAUAUUUGUAUAUAUGGAGUGAAGGUCGGUGGGAAAGCGACCGACAUAAGAAAUAAAAAGAAAAUGAAAGAAAGAAGAGGGUAAGCUUCUAGGGGGCUCUCUUCCUCUCUAGAACUCUCACGGUCUCUCUCUCUAUCUCUCGGGCUUUUCUCCGAUUUUGUUUUUUCGUCUCGGAGAAGGAGGGGAGAAGGACCUGGAAGGGGACAACCUAGUUGGAGGAAGACCCCAAUCAUGAUUCUUUCCCAAGACCAUCAUCCUACAACGGUUCGUUGUCCAUUCACUUCAUCCCAACGGUGCUGACAAGCCCUGUGAUGGAGGGAUGUUGAUGCAUGGAUCGUGGUAGAGUUGUGAAAGGUAAAAUUGACACUACCUAUGGUAAGAUCUUGAGUAACGAUUGAGAUACUGGAUUAUGAGAAUUGUCCAAUAGUUGUAAUCGAUUUUGAGAUUGAGUUGAAUGAUUUAUCAUUGAUUUCUUUGAUUUGGAUUGCUGAUCUGCUUUGCAACUGUGAUGGUAUUUGGGAAUUAGCUUAUUUACUAAUUCAAAUAAGUUUAAGGUCAGGGUGUUACAACAAGUUACCUAUUGCAUGACUCCUCAAAGCUAGAUUCCUAGUCUAGUACCUAAACUUGUAAGAUUUAGAUUGAACAAUCACUACCAGAAGAAAGACUUUAGCCGAACGAAAAAAAAAAACCAGGCCGACGAAUCAAUUUUUCGUCGGCUAAAGUAUGCUUUAGCCGACAAAAUUUUCCUUCGUCGGCUAAAUUAUAUUUUCGUCGGCUAAAGUCUGUGACUUUAGCCGACGACUUAAAACAUUCUUUAACCGACGAAAUUUUAAUUUCGUCGGCUAAAGUUCUUUAUAUUCGCAGAUCUGGACAGCAGCUCAUCUGAGAAAAAAAAACGGAAGAAGAAAAAACGGGAGAAAAAGUUUGGGUGUUGUUGAAAUCUGUCCAUAAUUAAGAAGUGGAGCUAUAUAUAGGUACGUACAUGUGUAUAUAUGUUGAUUUUGAGUUUUAUUUGAGUUGAUCGAUUUUGAGUGUGAUUGAAUUGAUAGAUUUUGAGUACGUUUGAUGUAUAUAUAUAUGUGUGUUGAUCGAUUUGGUUGAUGAUUUGAUAAUAUAUAUGAAGUUGUUGUUAAUUAUAAGUAGCUAG